GACAGUCUCAGCUUUCCAACAGUGUGUGGCAUGAGUACAUACUGUUAAGAUCUGAUGCUUAAAACUAUUAGCAAAGUUUUUACAACGUUGUGGAGCGCCCUUUCUUAGUGAAGGGUCUUCCUUUGUUGGAACGGUUUUCCUUAACAGGUUAAAGUAGAUUUAUCUUGAAUUUAACGACAAUGUACCCAACAUUAACAUUCAGUGGAAAUUCCCUUAAUUAUGCUUAGACCCCAGACCUGAUCAGAUCAGAUGAUCACUGAAAUGUGGAAUAUUAAGUAAAUAAAAGAAGAGAAAGAAACCACUGGAUGGUAGCAAAAUAAAUAUAAACUAUUUAUCACAAAAUCUGAAACAUAGUUAUGGGCCUUCAAAGUAACUUCUUUUUCUUCUUUUCACCUGUUUUGUUUCCACAGUCUAAGAGAGAGAUGGCACCUUCCAAAGCUGUUGCUGCUCGCCUUUUCGAACUCCCCAGAAGAUAUACGUUCCUGAAAUUUCUUGGAGAGGGCGCCUUUUCAAAGGUGGUGAAAUGUUUGGACGAGGAGACUGGUGAGACUGUGGCUAUAAAGUUGCCUAGACGCCGGUGCCAACAAACCAUGCAUGAGAUUUCCAUACUGAAAAUGAUCAAGAUCCUCAACCUUGACAAACACAACAUUGUCAAGUACAUUGAUUGUUUUCCGACCAGCUCCGGCAAGGCGUUUGUGUUCGAGUCGCUCGAUAUAAGCCUUCAUGACUACUUUAAGAAGACAGAUUGUGCCCCUAUGCUUCUGAGUGACAUCAGAACCAUCAUCCAACAGAUGGCCACAGCAUUUAAGGCACUGAAGGAGAUCGAGCUGAUCCACACUGACGUCAAACUGGAUAACAUUAUGAUGGUGAAUCACAGACGACGGCCGUUUGAAGUCAAGCUGAUAGACUUUGGUGUGGCCAUGCAUGCAUCAGAUGUCAGGAUAGGCCAGACUGUCCAACCACUAAUUUUUCGGUCUCCAGAAAUUUUUUUGGGCCGUGAGUUUACUGAGGCCUCUGAUAUGUGGACCCUGGGCUGUGCCAUGUUUCAGAUGAUCUGCGGCUGUCAACCGUUCUCAGGAGAAAAUGAAUACGAAAUAGUGCGGAGCAUUGUUGAACUCGUGGGUGAGCCAAAUACAUUAUAUCUUCGUGGCUGUGAGUGUGCUUUUUUUUACUUCAAAGAGCUUGACUACUACCAUUGGAGGAUCAAGACUCCCUCUGAAUAUUACAGAAAAGCUCGCAAGAAAAGACCCAGAAAGAGCCACCAGUUCAAGUCUCUGGAUGAUAUGAAAGCAAUGCGUCUGGAAGAAAAUAACCAGACUGAAGCUGUAGAGCGAGAGCAGUGUAUCGAGCUUCUGAAGGCUAUGCUGACAGUGGUUGACUGGGAGAGGAUCACUCCCUGUGAAGUUCUCGCUCAUCCAUUCAUCACGAAAGACUACACAAAUGUCCAGACUGAUGGACUCAAGACAUUGAGAAGUUCAAGUGAGGACUUUGAAUGUGAGCCUCUUGCCGCUCCACUGAAGGACAGCAGCAGUAUCAUCCAACCAGACGGCUGCACUCCAUCUCCUGAAAUUCUGCCAUCAGGUGCGAUUCUGGUUCAGCCUGCGACUGCCGAGAACUCAACCUCACUGGAAGACCAGGAGAGUGCAGUUAGUGAGCCUCCUACCGCUCCUCUGGAGGAUGAAGACAGGAGUGUCAUCCAACCAGACGGCUGCACUCCAUCUCCUGAAAUUCUGCCAUCAGGUGUGAUUCUGGUUCGGCCUGCGACUGCCGAGAACUCAACCUCACUGGAAGACCAGGAGAGUGCAGUUAGUGAGCCUCCUACCGCUCCUCUGGCGGAUGAAGACAGGAGUGUCAUCCAACCAGACGGCUGCACUCCAUCUCCUGAAAUUCUGCCAUCAGGUGCGAUUCUGGUUCGGCCUGCGACCGCCGAGAACACAACCUCACUGGAAGACCAGGAGAGUGCAGUUAGUGAGCCUGCUACUGCUCCUCUGGAGGAUGAAGACAGGAGUGUCAUCCAACCAGACGGCUGCACUCCAUUUCCUGAAAUUCUGCCAUCAGGUGUGAUUCUGGUUCGGCCUGUGACCGCCGAGAACUCAACCUCACUGGAAGACCAGGAGAGUGCAGUUAGUGAGCCUCCUACCGCUCCUCUGGCGGAUGAAGACAGGAGUAUCAUCCAACCAGACGGCUGCACUCCAUCUCCUGAAAUCCUCCCAUCAGUCCUGAUCCAGACUCCACCUGCGAGAGCCGAGAACACAACACUGCUGGAAGAUCAGGAGAUUCAAGUUAGUUUUCAGUCUGUCCUGGACAAGACAUCAGAGUCCUCAGUGAGCGACGCUGGCGAUAACACAAAGAUAUGCGAGGAUUCAACCACAUGUGAAGACACCGGGACAAAGAAGAAGAAGAAGAAUUGCUUCCAACGCGUUCUCUCUUGGUUGAGGAAGAGGUUCAGCUGCCGUGUUUCCCCCAUUGUUUAGGGAUGUGUAAUGUUCUGUGUAGGGUUUCUUUAUUGGCUUCUGGGGGGGUUUUCAAUCAAAACUGUCACAGUCUGCAUAGUCUCCCAUGUUUGGUUUUCUCCAGGUGCUCUGGUUUUUCCAACAAACAUGAAAUGUGUUUUGAAAAAAAAUAUUCGUUCUGGGAGAACUCUGAUUGCAGACAAUGACACAUGUCAGUAUUUGCUUGAAAAAGCCCCCAUAUUGCCUGAAUGCCCUAUAACAGAAAUACAGCACAUUCCCUGCAAUUGAGGCUGAAAUGUAGUUUUCAGUCUGUGCUGGACAAAACAUCAGAGUCCUCAGUGAGCGACGCUGGCGAUAACACAAACAUAUCUGAGGAUUCAACCACAUGCGUUAAGUAACAGUCAACUCUACUUGUGUCUCAGUUGUUGUGCAUUUUGAUGUAAGGCUCAGAUAUUUUAUGUCCGUUGAUUUUUAGAAGACACCGGGACAAAGAAGAAGAAGAAGAAUUGCUUCCAACGCGUUCUCUCUUGGUUGAGGAAGAGGUUCAGCUGCCGUGUUUCCCCCAUUGUUUAGGGAUGUGUAAUGUUCUGUGUAGGGUUUCUUUAUUGGCUUCUGGGGGGGGUUUCAAUCAAAACUGUCACAGUCUGCAUAGUCUCCCAUGUUUGGUUUUCUCCAGGUGCUCUGGUUUUUCCAACAAACAUGAAAUGUGUUUUGAAAAAAAAUAUUCGUUCUGGGAGAACUCUGAUUGCAGACAAUGACACAUGUCAGUAUUUGCUUGAAAAA